UACGUAGGGGGCAAGCGUUGUUCGGAUUUACUGGGCGUAAAGGGCGCGUAGGCGGCGUGUUAAGUCAGCUGUGAAAUCUCCGAGCUUAACUCGGAACGGUCAGCUGAUACUGAUGUGCUAGAGUGCAGAAGGGGCAAUCGGAAUUCUUGGUGUAGCGGUGAAAUGCGUAGAUAUCAGGAGGAACACCGGUGGCGAAGGCGGUUCGUCUGGGCCGUCA
rnacentral:rRNA from 1 species